AUUUUUUUUAUUUGUGCUUUUCACUUGUUAUUUGAUUUUUCAUAAGUAAGCUUCAAAAGAGUUUGUUUUCCUGUUGAAAAUCUAUGAGUUUUCACCGUAAACGGUAAACAGGGGUAGAACAUACAAAGUAACCUAGCAACAAUCCGAAUUCCAUCCACAUUCCUGGCCUAUCCUCUGGUUCUACAGGAAAGAGCCAUUCAACCCAGGAACAGACAAGAAAGAGAGCUGAAACCUUUGUGACAAUGCUGGAAAAUUAGCAAUGAGUGAAGUAUUAUACAACAACACGGUUUUGCUUUUUAGAAGCUCCUGGUUUUUUAAAGUUUGGUAGACAAGGUGACAACAAAAUGACUGUGGGCUCUGGCAACAUGGAAGUCUUUGGGGACAUUGACAAGAGUUACUUCAGAGACGUGGUGGGGACAAAAGCCUGAUGGGAGCGCAUUCAAGGGAGACUGGAAGGAAGAGGAAGUCCUUUUCCUUGCUUCCUAUAUGGAGGCAGAUAAUGUUUUUUAAAACAAACACAUGCCUACUUUAUAGGACUGCUUUAAUGUCAUCUACUGAAUAAUUUUAUAUUCAUGAAGUACUUUGAGCUCCUCAGGAAAUCUUUUUAAAAAAUGAAUAAAGAAAGAACUAGCUAUUUCUUUAACUCAUUCCAAGACUGAGUGAAACUUUUCAUUGUGAUUGAGGAAUAAGCAUUAAACAAAUAAUCUCAGAUUGAGACGUGUCACGAUGAUAGCUUUAUGUCUC